rnacentral:rRNA from 1 species
GUUGCGAACGGGUGAGUAACACGUGGGUAACCUGCCCAUCAGAGGGGGAUAACAUUCGGAAACGGAUGCUAAAACCGCAUAGGUCUUCGAACCGCAUGGUUUGAAGAGGAAAAGAGGCUUCGGCUUCGGCUGAUGGAUGGACCCGCGGUGCAUUAGCUAGUUGGUGAGGUAACGGCUCACCAAGGCCGUGAUGCAUAGCCGACCUGAGAGGGUGAUCGGCCACACUGGGACUGAGACACGGCCCAGACUCC